UGAGGUGUUAGCCUUUAGCAUGUGUUUAGCUAUUUCUGGAAUUACACAUGAUACUAUAUGGGGGGAAAUCUAAGUUUUUAUAUUAAUUGAAUUGGGAAGUAGGGGUGGUGGGGAGUCUUGAAUUAAAUAUUUUUAGUUAUUAAAGGUUUUUUUUUGAAACUAAGGUUUAAAAUGGGGGGUUUUGGUUUACUCAGUGGUUAAUUUUAAAUAAUAUGGAAAUAUAGGUUUAGUCAUGGAAAUUUAAAGAAGGGUAAUAAAGUGCCAGCACCUGCGGUCAUACUUUUUUCUUAAGUUAAAUUUUUCGUGGGGACAGUUAAAAUAUAUAAUUAGAGGGUUAUCUUUUUCUACUUCGGUGAAAUGUGUAGUUUAAGGAGUUUUGUAUCCUCUUACUUUUAAGUCUGAAAAGGCCAAUAAAUAGACGGGGAUUAGAUACCCCCUUAUUGAUGCUGUAUUUGAAACCGCGGUGAUUACGAACUGAGGUAGUUUAAAAUCUAAGGAGGUUGGCGGUGUUUUAUAUCCAUUUAGGGGAACUUGGUGGUUAAUUCGAUAGUCCUCGAUAACUUUACCUUUUAUUUUCUUUGCAUACCGCCGUUGUCAAUAUUUUUUUUAUUAAGGUAGCUGAUUGUGGGGAAUAUUAUAGUCUAUUUGAAUUCAGGUGACGUGUAGGUUAUUAAAAGGGCUUAACUGAGUUACAAUUUUUUUAAAAAACGGAUUAUGUGAUUGAAAUAUUACAUUGAAGGUGUACUUAUUAGUAAUCUUUUAAUUGAGGGAAGGUGAAUAGUGUUAGUAGAGCGCGUACAAAUCGCCCGGUGCCCCUGUAUUUUAAAUUUGGGUAAGCCGUAACAUAGUAAUGCUACCAUAAGGUGGUUUUGGUGUAGU
rnacentral:ncRNA from 1 species